CAGUCGCCGCGGGAAUAUGUAGGGUGCAAGCGUUAAUCGGAAUUACUGGGCGUAAAGCGUGCGCAGGCGGUCCGUUAAGACAGAUGUGAAAUCCCCGGGCUUAACCUGGGAACUGCAUUUGUGACUGGCGGGCUAGAGUAUGGCAGAGGGGGGUAGAAUUCCACGUGUAGCAGUGAAAUGCGUAAAGAUGUGGAGGAAUACCGAUGGCGAAGGCAGCCCCCUGGGCCAAUACUGACGCUCAUGCACGAAAGCGUGGGGAGCAAACAGGAUUAGAUACCCGGGUAGUCCCUGUCUCUUAUAC
rnacentral:rRNA from 1 species